GAUCGGUUGCCUCCCUCCCAGCCCCCACCAUUCUUGUUUCCUUUUCAUACCCUUUUUUAACCAUCUGAGCAAUAAUUGCAAAUUCUCUGCUAGAUGGGGAAGGGGCUCCUGGCACCCGCUGGCAGCCUGCAUGGGGAAGCAGGGUCACACCUGCAGCAUGUCCCAGAGGGGUUUGGGGAGCCCGGGGAUGGGGUGGCACAGGUACUGUGUCACCACCACCCCAAAACGCCUCACGGGAAGAAAGCUGUGGGGAGUGGGGAUCUGCUUGUUCUGGCAGGCGGUGGUUGGAGAUAGGGGUGGUGGAAAUCAGCCUGUCCUGUCAGAUGUGUCAUGAAACUGCUCAAGGGAUUCAGCUGCCUCUGCAGCACACACAGACUGUACAUCAGGAGGUGUUUUCCUCUGGAAGGUAUAAAGUGCUGAGUGCUCUGCCUGGGAAGAACUGCUCGCUGAGCUCCAGCCUGUGCCCUGCAGGCAGCCUGGAUGAUCUUAAAACCCUGCUCCAUGUAAUAUCAAUUCACGUGCUCUGAGGGCAAAAUGCUGCCCUUUCUGUGGGAGGACACUUUCAGGCUGUGCACAGCUGGCUUGUUCUUGGCAGGACACCGUCACGUCCCCACAGGGCUGAGUGGCUGCUGUGCUGUGGGUUCCCAGUUCCCAAAUCUUUUUCCAGGUGGCACAGAGAGAGAAGGAGCAGCUGCACCAGCGGCACUUGCUUGGAUGCUUCCCCACACAGCUCUCCGGUGGAGGCAAAGGAACCCCUAUGAAACAUUCGGGCACCUCGUUGCUAUGGGACAUCCUGUGACUCAGUGACCAGCAGCCCCAGGAGACACAGACAAGGGGCUCGCUCCUGCCUCGUCAGCGCAUGAGGAGCCCCCGGCCGCACCGCGGUGCCACAUGAGGCACAGGGUGAGGCUGGGCCCUGCUGCUGGAGCCGCCACACACGGCCAGCAGGGACAUGGGUGGCCGGGGAAGAGGGACAACCUUCAGGAGGCAGCUGGCGGUGUCUUUGUGGGACUCUGAGAAACAGGAGAAUAAUCCUUCUUCAUGAUAAAUGAGGACGGCAGGGUGGUUUGGGUUUUGUUUUGUUUUAUUUAUUUAUUUUUUCUUUCUUUUCCUCAUAUCUCUCUAUCUUCUUCGAAAACAUGCAUAGCCUGCAUUUCCUGGGAGGGCUUUUGGGUGACUGUCAGCCCACUGAAUUUAUGGCUCUGCAGGUGUCAGAGAAGCAAAACCUGAUUGUCUGAAUCUGAUUCAGGGAAUUUUAAUGUAUCUGAGUAUCGCUGGAUACCUGUGGGACCCGCUGUGUGGGAAGAGGCUGUUUUGCCCCCAGUUUCCCAGCCUUGCUCUCUGGCAGAGGUGGCUGCUCCCUGGACGCUGUGCUCCUCGGGGCCACCAUCUCAGCAGCUUCACCACACCCCUGCUCCUUUGCCUCUUGCUGUCCAAGAAACUCAAUGCUUAAAUUUGAAGGGAAAACAAACAAACACACAAAAACGCUAAAGCAGAGACCAGUUGGACACCAAAGUCGAGAGCUGGGUCUCUAGAUCCCUCUUUUCUUGUUUCUCUCUGAAACAUUAAACCCACGUGGGGACAUCAACACCCCCUUUGUCUCGGUUCUCUCUGCUGCAUGGGCUUUCUCCUCCCUCUCCCUCUGGGGGAGGCUGCUGCAGAAGAUGGCGUGUUUCCCCCUGCCCACUCUGCCCCCACCUCCCCAGGCUUUGAUCACAGCAGCUGUGGAAGCCAGACUUUGAAAACGCAGUGAUUUCACAGACGUGUUGAUUAGGAAAUGAAAUUCCAAGAAGCAAAUGACAACCCAGCUGUACUGCCAGGGUCUGUGAGACUGGAGCUCCCCACCAGGAAAUGUAUUUUCAUAUUUUUUGACACAUCCAGGGUGUUGUAUUAUUAAUAAAAAAUGCAGACAGAACUUCUUAAGAGAAAAUGACUUCCAAAGAAAUUGCUUUUUUUUCUUCUCCCCUGUGAAUCUGUAGUCUUCCUUGAAGACAGCUCAGCCCUUUCUCUCUUCUGCAGAACAAAAAUGCAGCAUAUGAACAAAAAUGAAAUGUACAUUUAUCCCAGAGCAGGGAGCAUCUCUUGGGCGAGCAGAAAGACUCCAGUGAUUUCUCUCCCCUAGCAGGUUGUUAAUCAAGGUUUCCAAUUUCAUAGGAAAAUGGAUUUAAUGGAGGAUGGAAAGAGGGCUGGGGACCUUCGUGGUUAAUUCUAAAGAAAAAUAACCCCAGCCUUGCUAUCCUACGAGGACCAGAUUAUGUCUAGUCCAUCCACCUGGG
rnacentral:lncRNA from 1 species